AUAUAUAGAGAGAGAGAGAGAGAGAGAGAGAGUUUUUUUUUUACUUGAAAUAAACCUUGCAUAUGGCAUUAGGACACAGACAAUUUCAUUAUAGCUUGUUGCUUAUGGUGAAUGAGCCCACUAUGCAGAGAAUAGGACAAAGCAAAUCACUUAAAGGACCACUCUAGGCACCCAGACCACUUCAGCUUAAUGAAGUGGUCUGGGUGCCAGGUCCAGCUAGGGUUAACCCAUUUUUUCAAAAACAUAGCAGUUUCAGAGAAACUGCUAUGUUUAUCAAUGGGUUAAGCCUUCCCCCUA